rnacentral:rRNA from 1 species
AUUGAACGCUGGCGGCAGGCCUAACACAUGCAAGUCGAACGAGUGGCGGACGGGAGAGUAAUGUCUGGGAAUAUGACUGAUGGAGAGCGCUCACUACUGGAAACGGUAGCUACAUACGCAUACCAUCGGAUUGGCCCAGAUGGGAUUAGCUAGUAGGGGGGGUAAAGGCUCACCUAGGCGACGAUCCCUAGCUGGUCUGUGAGGAUGACCAGCCAAACUGGAACUGAGACACGGUCCAGACUCCUACGGGAGGCAGCAGUGGGGAAUAUUGCACAAUGGGCGAAAGCCUGAUGCAGCCAUGCCGCGUGUGUGAAGAAGGUCUUCGGAUUGUAAAGUACUUUCAGUGGGGAGGCGUUACCCGCAGAAUAAGCACCGGCUAACUCCGUGCCAGCAGCCGCGGUAAUUC